rnacentral:rRNA from 1 species
AUUGAACGCUGGCGGCAGGCCUAACACAUGCAAGUCGAACGAGUGGCGGACGGGUGAGUAAUGUCUGGGAAACUGACUGAUGGAGGGGGACAACUACUGGAAACGGUAGCUAAUACCGCAUACCAUCAGAUGUGCCCAGAUGGGAUUUGCUUGUUGGUGGGGUAACGGCUCACCAAGGCGGCGAUCCCUAGCUGGUCUGAGAGGAUGACCAGCGACGCUGGAACGAAGACCCGGACCAGACUCCUACGGGAGGCAGCGGUGGGGAAUAUUGCACAAUGGGCACAAGCCUAAUGCAGCCAUGCCGCGUGUAUGAAGAGGGCCUUCGGGUUGUAAAGUACUUUCAGCGGGGAGGCGUUACCCGAAGAAGAAGCACCGGCUAACUCCGUGCCAGCAGCCGCGGUAAUAC